GGAACCGUAGCUCAGUGGUAGAGCAGCGGACUGCAGUUCCGAAGGUCACUGGUUCAAUUCCGGUCGGUUCCU